rnacentral:rRNA from 1 species
UACGGGGGGAGCAAGCGUUGUUCGGAUUUACUGGGCGUAAAGGGCGCGUAGGCGGUCAGUGCAAGUCAGUUGUGAAAUCUCCGAGCUUAACUCGGAAAGGUCAACUGAUACUGCUCGACUAGAGUGCGGAAGGGGCAACUGGAAUUCUUGGUGUAGCGGUGAAAUGCGUAGAUAUCAAGAGGAACACCUGCGGCGAAGGCGGGUUGCUGGGCCGACACUGACGCUGAUGCGCGAAAGCGUGGGGAGCAAACAGG